rnacentral:rRNA from 1 species
GACGUAGGAGGCGAGCGUUGUCCGGAUUCAUUGGGCGUAAAGGGCGCGCAGGCGGCCCGGAAAGUCGGAUGUGAAAACUCGAGGCUCAACCUCGAGCGUGCACCCGAUACUGCCGGGCUUGAGGCAGGUAGGGGAGAUCGGAAUUCCUGGUGUAGCGGUGAAAUGCGCAGAUAUCAGGAGGAACACCGGUGGCGAAGGCGGAUCUCUGGGCAGUUCCUGACACUGAGGCACGAAGGCCAGGGGAGCAAACGGG